CACAGCCAGCGUUCAGAACCAGAAGUCAGAGAGUUAACCAAGCCAAGGCCCAAGAUCCAAGCCGGGAGUCGGAGCCAAGGCUAUGGGCAAAGCCAAGAAGCAGUCACAGGAUUAGCACAUCAGAACAAGCCCCAGAACUGCUGCUGAACCCAUGGUCCUCCCUAAGGCCCUGUGUCCUUUGGAGGCAUUCUCUGUCCACGGACUGGCAUUCCCCAAAUGCAAUCUAUGAGGUGAGAAUGGGACAAGUGAGAAUAACCUCUGCCUUUGCAGGAACUUUUGCCUUGAAGAACACACCAAGAAUCGUAUGGAGAGUGUCUUAACUACCUUCUGCACAUUCUUUUAAAACAGGUUUACAGAUCAGAGAGAGAACCAAAUUGGUAAUGAGUGAAAACAGAACAACGUGGCCCAGAUGAUGGCUGCUAUACUCCAGCUACUUGCUUCUGAUGGAAGAGGUUGUCAAAACUCUGGGGAGCAUGCUCAUCAUGUGUGCUAAGUACUAAGUGUACCUAGCACAUAGUACAAGAUUAUCCAAAAAGCACUUUCUUCCAGGCAGUUUUGCAAAGUGGAUCAGGAAAGCAGCAUGAAGCAGUACUAUGCACAGCACAGACCUUCAGUAUGGAAGAAAGACAGCAGCCGCGGUCCCAGCUUCUGCCAGACAGAGCGUUGGUGGUGUGAGAGAAAGCACAGAAACCUGGAGGCACGUUAAAAGGACAUAUUCAGACUCUUCAAGUCAUAUGGAAAGAUAGGAAACAAAUGCCACUCUCAGUGAGGAUAGGUUUAAAAAAACUCCCUGAGAAAUCCUUCAGUGUGAUAAGCAUGACCAACAGCUGAAAUAAAUCCAUCAGAAGUACGUACUUAGACUUUGCUUUGAAUCCAGCCCUAUGUUAUGUUCUUAGAGAAGUUCAGUAAGAUACUGGAAGACAGUGCCUGCUUUGGGAGAAACUACUUUCAUGUUGGAAGAAACAGAACUUGCAGAUAACAUUACAAAACUACUCAUAAGCCAAGGAUGCUCUUUUCCCAUCCAGUUUUAUCUAGACCCACCUAGCAACAUUUCCAUCAAAGACCUCAUUUUGAAUAAGGUGAUCUCAACAAAGAAUUCCCUGAGUACUCUUUAUGUGAAGCAAAAUGCUCCCUCUUAUCAUUUUAUAACUCGAAUUCCUCUUCCUAUUUAUUAUGACCCGUGUUUUCAAUUCAUCAUGGUGAUGGGGACAUGUUCUUCUUGCUUGCACGUGUUGCAUUGCCCCUGCUUCUGCAACCAGCAGGCUAUGUUACCCUCAGGAACUCUGUUCUCCCAUUCUUAGUGCUAAUGUUUUGGGCGAGACUGACUGAUGCACAGACUCCAGCUCUAAGAGUAGGUACAUGAUCCAAGACCAGCAGCCCUCGAAUUUGCAGAAAAUGUUGAGGAAGAGAAAGUCAAUGUAUGGCUACACUAGCUGAUGACCAGACAGAAGAUGACUAACAAUAAAGCCAAACAAAGAAAACAAGAGCUGAGCAAUGGACGCUGACCGAUUGCUACAGGCAUAAUGCGAACACCAGAAGACAGCAAUGUCUGAUGCUAAGUACAUUCCUGGACUUUCCAUUUAUCCAAACUUGAUUUAUUUUCCUUCCCAUCCACCACCCAGCUCUAACCUAACACAAGGAAGCAAACCUAUCUGGUGAAUUCUCCACACAGUCUUACUUUUGUGGGACUACUAACCAGAUCCCAUUUUCUUCACAUUACACAGAACCCUCCUAAGAUAAACUUCUGGGAAUAUCUAGAAAGAAGAUAACUACCAUAAUUGUCCUUGACUGUAGUCUUCUCUUGAGUGGGGAUUCCUUGGAGUUACUAGUAGAUAAUUUUUAUGAAACAGGGUAUCUAAUUAUUGAGAAGAAUUAUCAGAAUUCCAAGUCGCUGUCUAUUUGUGGAAUUAACAGUGUUGAUUCUCAUUUAUAGCCUCUCUCCUCCUGCUUAAUUCCCUGAAUAGUUCAGCCAGUCUCACUGAGACCCUCAGGGGGAAAUGCCCAAGUAAUAUAAAUCCCACCUCAGAGCUGAAUUCAGGGUAUCCCAUAAGAACAACAACCAGGGAUCGCUUUGAAGGUCAUCUCAGAGUACUGGCAGGUAACAGGAUGUUUGCCUGUCUGCAGAAAGCCAUUAAUAUAAUAGAAUGAUCUCGCUGGUAAAAAUAAGUAAUAAAGAAACAAACAAGAUGAAGAGGGGUGAAGUUCUCAUGUAUAAUAUCAAAGCAAAUCUGUAAUAGCUACCUAACUAAACCUCCAAGCCCUUAGCUCAUUGCCUGACCUAAAAAGUCACCCUGCUGUUUUAAUGAAAGUUAGCUGUGGGAACAUCUCCAUCACAGCAUCCCAACCACCAAUAUCACUUUUAAACUAAGCAUUUGUUCUUUUUAAUCUACUUCCUGUUUAGAAAUUGCUUCUAUUUUGAGCAGCACGUUUACUUUUUCACCUUUUGCUAAGAGAAAUUGCAUUUUAUUAGCUGGAAUCCAAAUACAACUAAAUGAGGAAAACUCAAUAAAGGGACUGAAAAAAAAUUUCACCCAAUAAAUUUGCUGAGAAAUGCCAAGUUUGCGGCUGUGCCUACAGCCAUUUUAGUUAUAAGACACAUAGUAGGAAACAGUUUGGGGGUUUUCAACCAUUAGUUUAUAAAUUGGAUAAGAUAGAUGUGUUCAUUCAUAUGAAGUAAUGUAAUUUUUCUUGGGAAAGUUUAAUAUUAUACAAAUCCAUUAGCAUAUUUACAAAUUAAUCUUCCCUUAGGAAAAAAAGAUUGAAGAUUUACAGAAGGAAGAGCUUUAUUACUUUUAAAACUGCAUUUUUAAAGAAAAUAAAAGAAAAAGAAGGAAAAUUAUAUUGAACUAUAAAUGCCUUUUUAUGACUAACAGUUUUGCAACACCAAAAUUUAUGAAAGCAAAGAAUAGAGCAGAGCAUAGAGUUUUCAAGGAGCUCAGAAAAAUUGCAACUCCUAUAUCACAAAAUGUAAACUCCUAUAAAACUAAACCUGUUUAUGUGAAUGCAAGCUAAAUGGCAUUAAAUUAAUUAGACACUCAUGGCUAUUAAUGUGAACUUCCCCUGGAAAUGUCUUCUUGUUUUUUUUCUUCCAAAUUCUCAAGCUACUUGUUCUAAUUUUUGACAAGAAGGGAUUUUUAGACCUUCACACCAAUGACAACAAAAAUGUAUUCAUUUGAUUUCUUUCUCAAACUCCCAAUGACAUCUUAAUGUUGAACAAAUAACUGGUGACAUAAUUAAUUCCUGACACUCCGCUGUUAUAAAAUGGAAUUUUCUGUCAUCACAGAGAAAACUUGGAAUGCUGGGUAAAGGCAGUCUCAAUUUAUGAACAAAUGCCCAACAUAUUCUAAAAAUUAAGCGAUUUGACUUUCUUCAAAUAGUCUCCUUUUUGCUCAUUCCUAGCACUUACUUGGUGAAUGUCUUUUUUUGUUGUUGUUUAUUAAAGGAAGGGUUAAAUGGACUUUCUACAUAAACACAGGAUGCAGCAUAAUAUUAAGAGCAAUUCUUAAAUAACAUGCAGAUUUAGUGAUGUAUUAAUAACUGCUUUUUCAACAUUUCAAACUACUAAAAAAAAUCAAAGUACUAUUUUUUCCAUGGAAGAUAUCUGUUGCAAUGUAUUCAGCAUAUUAUCAUAUACAAUUUUUCAGGUUAAAAGACAUCAAGCUGGGUAUGGUGGCACAUGCCUGUAAUCGUAGCAGCUCAGGAGGCGGAGGCAGGAAGAUUGGGAGUUCAAAGCCAGCCUCAGCAAAAGGGAGGUCCUAAGCACCUCAGUGAGACCCCAUCUCUAAAUAAAAUACAAAAUAGGGCUGGGGAUGUGGCUCAGUGGUCAAAUGGCCCUGAGUUCAAUCCCUGGUACUCCUGUGCCAAUAUAUAUAUAUUGAUAAUAUUAAUAACUUUGUAUUUUUCAUUUAUUGAUCACCUUCUGUAUUCUAGUAAAUACUUUAAUGCAUUAUCUUAUUUAACCAUCAAGCAACCCUAUCAAGUAAAUAUUGUGUUCAUUUGUAUUUUAGAUGAGAAAACAAAGUUUCAAGAUAAUAAAUAUCAAAAACAUACAAUAAUAAGUGAGGGAAUCCAGAAUAAAAUUCCAACCUCUCUGAUUCCCAAGUCUACACAUUUAACCCUAAAGUUCCAGUUAUUCUUUUCUAACAUUUUCACUUGCUCCACAAUGCAGCAUUCACAGGUACAGCCUAAUCACUGAGGAGGGGUCCUGGAAGGGUUUAUCUUGUCCCUGGACUCCUUGUUCUUUUUCUCUCUGCUUCCUACCUGCCAUCAGGUGAGCAGCUUUCCUCCACCACACCCUUUUGCCAUGAUAUCCUGCUUUGCUUCAGGCCCAGAGCAAUAGAAUCAAUCCAUUAUGGACUGAGACCUCUGACACUGUGAGCCAAAAUAAAUCUUUCCUCCUCUAAGUUCUUUUUCUCAGGUAUUUUGUCCCAGGGAUAGAAAACUGACUAACAUAACUAUAAGUGUGCUACCAUAACUCCCAUAAAGCAUCUCAUUUUCAGGCUACACAACCUCAUGUGCAGUAGCUGUCCCACAAAGGGUAAUUAUCAAGUUUUCUCACUAUCACUAUCUUUUCUUGUGCCCUUAGGUCCACUGAACAUCCAAGCAUCUCUUUAAAAAGGAUGGCUCAGCUAGGCACAGGCCUUCAUGAGGACUUGAUCACUAGGAACAAUAAGCCUCCUGAUUCUGAGCUCCGAUCCUUUUUACCUUGGAGUUCUGACAUAAUGUAUAAAGAUGCCAAUUUAUUUCUAAGUUUUGCUAGAAGAUGUAUUAUUAGCCAGAUAGUAUAGAGACAGUACCCCUGAAAACACGGGCACUAUUUUCCAUUUUGGAUGAUUUACUGGACCCAUUGAUACAGUAAUAACUUUGGAUUUGGAUGAAACUUCUGGGGUAAGAGCCAAGUCUGCAGAACCUUCCCCUAAAAUCCUUCUAUGAUGAGCUUGAUAUCAACCAGACAAGUUUAAUCACAUUGAUAGAAACCCUUCCUAGUCCUGUGUAUGUGAAAAAGAACUGAACUCACCAAGAGUGUCAUUUGAAAUACUUGAAGAUCAGUCUGGAAAAAAUAUCCAGAGCACCUUUUUACCUAGAUUGAAAUAUCAAGCUCCUGUGACAGUUGUUUUAGUCGGGGUUGAGUCACUGUGACCAAAAUACCCAACAAGAACAACUUAGAGAAAGAGAAGUUUAUCUUGGCUCAUGGUUCAGAGGUUUCAUCCAUGGUAGGCAGAUUCCACUGCUCUGGGCCCAAGAUGAGGCAGGACAUCCUGGCGGAAGGGCGUAAUGGAGAAGCCCUGCUCCAUUUAUGACAGAUAGGAAGCAAAGAGGGGGAGACAGAAGGGGCUGCAAGGAAGAUGAACCCUCCCAGGGCACUGCCCUCCCAGGGAUCCACCUCCUGCAGUUACGGCCCACCACUUAUAGUUGCCACCCAAACUAGGAUGGACUGAUUAGCUUACAGCACUCAUAAUCCAAUCAUUUUGCCUCCAGACCUUGCUGCACGAACUCAGGAGCUUUUGGGGGACACGUCCUAUCCAAGUGAUGAUGGCAGUCAAAAUCUCAUGGAAGACAAGUAUUGAGCAAACAGUAUAACAUACGUGCAUAUAGCAUUUCUGCCUUUAAUAUAUUGCUUCAUAUUCACAGGUAAGAGAGAAAAGAACUGGACGUGCUCAAGAAGUUUUUUUUAUUUUAAGUUUCACCAAGUAAAUGGCAAUAGAACUGAAGAAAACAAGGUUGGCCUUUCAGAUUCGCAUACUCUUCAAACUUCCUCUCCUGAAAUGUGCUGCAGUCCAUCACACUUAACCUACUCUUUCCACACCUCCAGAAGGAGAUACCCACAGAUGCACCUAUUGACUUUGGCAUGAACUCAAAGAAACAAGCUUGCAAAGCUGGCCCUUUCUUUGUGCAUUAACUUCAAUUUCUCCUUUCCACACACACACUGAAAGAACAUCAGGUAAAUCCAUUUACUUCCGCCCCCUCAUCCCACUGCUGCUCCUAAAGUGACAUAUUAAUUAUGGCUCAUUUGAAAUUUUCUCUUACAAAUGUAGGCUCAGACUUCAACACCUAAAUGAAUUAUAUAUACGCCAUGCAAGCCUGUUUGUUUCAGGUUUCUUAAAGGAAGAAAAUGAAUGCAGUAUAUUAAUCAUCAAACCGAUGUCCCUGAUGGAAAAAUAAAUUAUUUAAAUGAGUAA